CAGGUCUACCAGGGCACACACCUGGGAGCCCUCACUCAUCUGAACCCUGUGGCAUUUAUUUCAAAGCCUCCAGAAACCUUCAGUAAUGUACCAUGCUGGAGGGAUUCCAAAGCCCUUGGGAGCAGAUGGCCGCAAGAGAGCUGAAAAGGAGGGUCAGAUGACUCUCCAGGGAGGAGUGACUGAGCAACAUCCUGAAGGAACUAACCUGCCUGCCUCCUGCCAGGACUGCAUUUUAGAGUUAGAACUGCUCUCGUUGUCAAAGUGCAGAGACUACGUGACUGGCGAGGACUCAGCCCUCAGCAGGACAUUGAGGUCACCUACUCCAAGGCCUGGGGAACAUCGCAGAAAAGAAGAGAAGAACCAGCGGACGGGGACCAGGGGCUGUGGACCCCUCUCUUCUGGAUAGGACUUGCCCAUUACAGUCACAACCACACAGCAUCUGUGGGUACCUGCUGCCCAUCAACGGUCCAUCCCAGAUGAUGGAGAGGACCAGGAGGCCCAACCCAUCCUGGGGAGUGGUUGCCCAUCCCCAGUGCUGCGUGCCGCCAUGCAUGG
rnacentral:lncRNA from 1 species